rnacentral:rRNA from 1 species
UACAGAGGCCCCGAGCGUUAGUCGGAAUUACUGGGCUUAAAGGGUGCGUAGGCGGACUUCUAAGUGUCGCGUGAAAGCCCACGGCUUAACCGUGGAACCGCGCGGCAAACUGGGAGUCUUGAGGAACGUAUAGGCGGGUGGAACGAUAGGUGGAGCGGUGGAAUGCGUAGAUAUCGGAAGGAACACCAGUGGCGAAAGCGGCUUCCUGGUCCAGCACCGACGUUCAGGCACGAAAGCGUGGGGAGCAAACAGG